GCCAAGAUAGUUAUUGGUUAGAACAUUAAUUUCAUGCGUUAAUAAUGAGAAUUCGAAUUUCUCUCUUGGUU
rnacentral:tRNA from 1 species